UACAUGGGGUGCAAACGUUGCUCGGAAUUAUUGGGCGUAAAGCGCGCGUAGGCGGUUACUCAAGUCGGAUGUGAAAGCCCUCGGCUUAACUGAGGAAGUGCACCCGAAACUGAGUAGCUAGAGUACCAAAGAGGGUCGCGGAAUUCCCGGUGUAGAGGUGAAAUUCGUAGAUAUCGGGAGGAACACCGGUGGCGAAGGCGGCGACCUGGGGGGAUACUGAUGCUGAGGCGCGAAAGCGUGGGGAGCAAACAGG
rnacentral:rRNA from 1 species